UGGGGAAUAUUGCACAAUGGACGGAAGUUUGAUGCAGCGACGCCGCGUGGAGGGUGUAGGCCUUCGGGUUGUGAACUCCUUUUUCUCGCGAAAAAGGCACAGUUUUGGCUGUGUUGAUGGUAGUGGGGGAAGAAGCGCCGGCUAACUACGUGCCAGCAGCCGCGGUAAUACGUAGGGCGCGAGCGUUGUCCGGAUUUAUUGGGCGUAAAGAGCUCGUAGGUGGUUCGUCGCGUCUGUCGUGAAAGCCAGCAGCUUAACUGUUGGUCUGCGGUGGGUACGGGCGGGCUUGAGUGCGGUAGGGGUGACUGGAAUUCCUGGUGUAGCGGUGGAAUGCGCAGAUAUCAGGAGCAACACCGAUGGCGAAGGCAGGUCACUGGGCCGUUACUGACACUGAGGAGCGAAAGCGUGGGGAGCGAACAGG
rnacentral:rRNA from 1 species